CUCUCCAUUUGUAUCUUACUCUCUCACCUUCUUUUUCUUCUUUUUCUUCUUCUUCUUCUUCCACCUCCAUUAAAGCUCUCUGUCUCUAGGGCUCGCUUCAAUCCAACCAACACCCAAAACCAGAAAACCAAAAACGAUUGAAUUUGAAUUUUAUAAAUUUAUCAAAUUUUGGGGUUGUGUGAUGUGAGAGAAGAAUGCCAGCGACGGAAUAUCAAGGGUCGUCAGCUGGGUUCAACAAUAUUGGCCGCUCGAUCUUCAGCCUCCGACGCGAUCAGUUUAAUUCAAUGGAAGCCCAUAGCCAUAGCGGUGGUCAAGGAGCUGUAGACCUCGACUCUUUCCAAACCCACGUCGCCGAUUGCUUCUUCCACCUCUCCUCUUCCUCCCAAGACAUCCUCUCCCUCCAAUGGCUCCGAGACCUCCUCGACGCCUUCCUCCAAAUCCAGCAAGAAUUCAAGAACCUCCUCCUCUCCUCCAUCAACAAGCCCCUCCUCUCCAAGCCCACCGUCGACCGCUUCCUCUCCGACUACUUCGAGCGCAGCGUCAAGGCCCUCGACGUCUGCAACGCCAUCCGCGACGGCAUCGAGCAGGUGCGGCAGUGGCUCAAGCUCCUAGAAAUCGUCCUGGUCGCCCUCGACCGCGACAGGACGCUCGGCGAGGGCCAAUUUCGUAGAGCUAAGAAAGCGCUCGUCGACCUUGCAAUCGCAAUGCUCGAUGACAAGGACUCCUCCAACACCACCCUGGCCCACAGGAACCGCUCCUUCGGCCGGAACAACCCGACAAAGGAUCACCAGCAUCACCAGCAGCACCGCUCGCUGGGCCACUUCCGAUCUCUUUCCUGGAGCGUUUCGCGGUCGUGGUCGGCCGCGAGGCAGCUCCAGGUUUACGGUGAAUUCGGUUUUGCUGUUCGUAAUGUGGGCCCUGGUGGCGGCGAUCCCGUGCCAGGACAGGGGCUUGCAGGUGCAUUUCACGGUGCCGAGGAGCUUCACCUGGGCGGGGCCCAUGCUGUCGCUGCACGAGCGGAUUCUGGAGGAGUCGAAGCGGCGGGACCGGAGGAACGCCUGCGCGCUGCUGAAGGAGAUUCAUCAGAUCGAACGGUGCUCACGGCUGAUCGGCGAUCUCGCAGAGUCGGUGCAGUUCCCGAUCGCGGAGGAGAAGGAGAGGGAGGUGCGACAGAGAGUGCAGGAAUUGUCGAGCCUAUGUGAGGGGAUUAAGGAGGGUUUGGAUCCUCUGGAACGGCAGGUCAGGGAGGUGUUCCAUGGAAUCGUGAAAAGCCGAACCGAGGGCAUGGAUUCUUUUGGAAGACCGAAUGAAUGAAGAAGAUGAGAGCAAUCAAUUUUUGGAUUUGGGGGAGGUGGCGGCGGCGGCUGCGGGCAAUAAAAUUUGGGUAAGGAGGAGGAGAUAUGACUUUUUUUUUUUCUUCUUCUUUUUCUCUUGUAAUUUAAUCAGUGAAAUCGAUCAGCAAUUACCAUAUAUUGUGUAUAGAAAUUAGGAUUAUGCAAAGGAACCUACUUGGAGGUUCAUGUUUGCUGUUUUUUCUUCUUCUUUUUUAACCCUUUUUAUCUUUCUGUUGUUGCUUAUUUAUUUCGCCUUUGUAUAAUGAAAUUUCUGAGCAUGCUUCUGGUUGAUGCUCUUUCUCA